rnacentral:tmRNA from 1 species
GGGGUUGACUGGAUUUGACGGCGAGAUGAGAUGGUACGUAAGCACGCGGAGCCUUGAUAGUUCGCUCCUAAAUCCGAGUUAUCACAAAUUUAAUUGGCGAAAACAAUUACGCUCUCGCAGCUUAAUCGAAUUAUAGUAGAUUUAGCAUAAUUCCGUCAUUAGAUGAUGGAACGAGACACUGCUCUAAGGAUGUUGUUCCGAAUCUGAGGGUAAAGCGGUGCAGGAAAAUCGGGAAUAGUCAUAGUAAGCCUCGUUACUUUGAUGAAAAUUUAGAGGAUAAGGCUUCAGUUGGUGGUCCAGGUCUUGCUGUUGCUCGAAAAUUAAAGGCUGGAAUAAACGUGUAGAAGGCGUAUGGUUUCCUUGUGCGGACGUGGGUUCGAAUCCCACCAGCUCCACAA